GAAAUGUGUCUUUCAAAAAAAAAAAAAACAGAGCUUCACAGGUUCAAACAAUGUGGAUGAUUUGUCAGUAGGCAGGAAGAAGUAGACUCACUGAAAUCUAAGUGCACGGAAAAAAAUCAAGUUAAACAUCAUUAUUAAAAACUAUAAUAUACCAAAAUAUAUAAACAUGCAUGUACACAAUAAUAAAUAAACAUUAAAAAAAUACUUCCGCACAGACACACACUCACAGCCACACCUUCACACACCUUCACACACACACACACACCUUCACACACACACACCUUCACACACACACACACACACACACACACACACACACACACAGGGGGAGGAGCAGAUGAAAUUGAAAGAGUUCAGUGAGUCAGUCUCACCUGACGAGAACAGGAGCAAAAACAGGAAACUGACGCAGGUGAGUUCAUAUUGUUUGACUUCAGUUUUCUCUCAUUUAUUAAAAAUACAUGACAUUUACAAGAUGAGUCCAGUGUGUAGAAAGCUGUGAGCAGCGUCUGGGAGGAAGGUCAAGGGUCAGUCAGUUUCUCCAGCAGCAGAGAAGAGGGAACGACAAGAGACGACGAGGAGACAAACAUGGAGGAACAUGUUGGAGCUUCACCUCUCAGACCAGAGAAGAUGAGUGAUCUGGAGGAAGACGAGGACAGAGCAGAGUCUCCAGUGUUCAGCUGGUUGUCCAUGAAGAGUGACCGGUCCAAAGGUGAAUCUCCAUUCUUCAGUCCUGAACCUGGACCCUCACACUCUGAUGUUGGAGCUUCACCUCUCAGACCAGAGAAGAUGAGUGAUCUGGAGGAAGACGAGGACAGAGCAGAGUCUCCAGUGUUCAGCUGGUUGUCCAUGAAGAGUGACCAGUCCAAAGGUGAAUCUCCAUUCUUCAGUCCUGAACCUGGACCCUCACACUCUGAGUAAGAGACUGUGUCCACACCUCACGUUGUGUCUGGUUCAGUAAAUCAACCUCCAACAUGUCGAUGUAGAAACUCUUCACAGUUUCCAGUCACAGAGGAAAUGUUCACAAUGGGAAGAUGCUCAUUACAAGUUCUGAUGAUGUGAUUAACAUAUUUGAUUUAGGCCUGCAACUAAUGAUUAUUCCGUCAUUUAUUUUCAAGAUUAAUUGAUUAGUUGUUUGGUCCAUAGUCAUGAAACUGUGAAAAAUGUUGAUCGUGUUUCCCAAACCCUGAGAUAUUUUGUUUUGUCCACACCAACAAUAUAUUGAGUUUACUGUCACAGAGGAGCAAAGAAAUCCAAACAUAAUUACAUUUAAGAAGCUGAAAUCAGAGAACUUUGCCUUUUUUUUCAUAAAAACUAAUUGAACCACUAAAUUCGAUAAUCAAAUUAAUCGGUGAUUAAUUUCGCUAUUGAUUACUAAGCGAUUAACGGUUGCAGCUCUAAUUUGAUUUGUCCACAGUCACAGUCUUCCUGUCUGAUCUGCUUCCUGUCAGAUCUCAUGCUUCCUGUCUGAUCUGAUUCCUAUAUGAUCUGUUUCCUGUCUGAUCUCCUGCUUCCUGUCUGAUUUCCUGCUUCUUGUCUGAUUUCCUGCUUCCUGUCUGAUUUCCUGCUUCCUGUCUGAUCUCCUGCUUCCUGUCUGAUCUGUUUCCUGUCUGAUCUCCUGCUUCCUGUCUGAUCUGCUUCCUGUCAGAUCUCCUGCUUCCUGUCUGAUCUGAUUCCAAUCUGAUCUGCUUCCUGUCAGAUCUCCUGUUUCCUGUCUGAUCUGAUUCCAAUCUGAUCUGUUUCCUGUCUGAUUUCCUGUUUCCUGUCUGAUUUCCUGUUUUCUGUCAGAUUUCCUGCUUCCUGUCUGAUUUCCUGCUUCCUGUCUGAUCUGAUUCCAAUCUGAUUUCCUGUUUUCUGUCUGAUCUCCUGCUUCCUGUCUGAUUUCCUGCUUCCUGUCUGAUUUCCUGCUUCCUGUCUGAUUUCCUGCUUCCUGUCAGAUCUCCUGCUUCCUGUCUGAUCACCUGCUUCCUGUCUGAUCACCUGCUUCCUGUCUGAUUUCACCUGUU
ensembl:lncRNA